GGAAGGCCCUACAGAGGGAUCUGGACAGGCUGGAUAGCUGGGCUGAGGCCAAUGGGUGUGAUACAAAAUGGCUAAAGAAGAGAAAGAUACUGCACUGUUAUAAUGGAAUUUCCAAGCAGAAAAGCAAAACUUCUAUCUAAAAAUCAGAGCUUUUUUCAGCCUGAUUUUGUUUUUAAAUAGACAAUUGCCUUUAUCAGCUGUUCCUUAGUUCACUGAAGCAAACUCCAGGAAUUGACAGACCUGAUGCAUACCAAAUACUUCCAGCACACCUGACAGGGCUCCAUUACUGCCAAAAAUCAGCAACUUGCCCCAGGCAGGAGGCCCAGCAAAUAACCUCUGAGUUGGAGCAGUACAGGACAUCAUCACAGAAACGAGGACUCGGUCCAGCAGAAGAGUUUUACUCCCUAACUGCAUAAUCAAGGUGAGGAUAUCCCGUCUUGAAAUAUAUAUCAGUCCCUAUCAGACAUCUGUCUCUGCUUUCUGCAGAGACUGCUGUGUAAAACCUCAGGUCUUGGCCCCCCUUCCUGUUGAUGUGAGCGAGGCACUUCUGGAUGACAGCUCUGUUCCUCACAUCCAAGAUGCAGCCAGGAGCACAGUGCUCAUUUGGGCAGGAAACAGGGUUAGGGCACAGAGCUAAGCAAGUAAGUCUCAGCACCAGGAACUCUGUGAGCACACGGUAUUUGUAGACACUUAUUUCUACAUAAAUGUACAUAAAUGCGUACAUCGAAGGAAAUCAUGCAAAGUGCCAAAACGAAACACCUCAUGCAUG
ensembl:lncRNA